GAUGAACGCUGGCGGCGUGCCUAAUACAUGCAAGUCGAGCGAACAGAUGAGGAGCUUGCUCCUCUGACGUUAGCGGCGGACGGGUGUGUAACACGUGGAUAACCUACCUAUAAGACUGGGAUAACUUCGGGAAACCGGAGCUAAUACCGGAUAAUAUAUUGAACCGCAUGGUUCAAUAGUGAAAGACGGUUUUGCUGUCACUUAUAGAUGGAUCCGCGCCGCAUUAGCUAGUUGGUAAGGUAACGGCUUACCAAGGCAACGAUGCGUAGCCGACCUGAGAGGGUGAUCGGCCACACUGGAACUGAGACACGGUCCAGACUCCUAUGGGAGGCAGCAGUAGGGAAUCUUCCGCAAUGGGCGAAAGCCUGACGGAGCAACGCCGCGUGAGUGAUGAAGGUCUUCGGAUCGUAAAACUCUGUUAUUAGGGAAGAACAAAUGUGUAAGUAACUAUGCACGUCUUGACGGUACCUAAUCAGAAAGCCACGGCCAACUACGUG
rnacentral:rRNA from 1 species